UACAUAUGUGUGUGUGUGUUUAGCUCAAUUUUUUUUUUCAAUUUAUCAAAAUCUAUUGUCUUUAAAAAUGUGGUAUGUGUAACAGCAGUUGAUUUAUCUGCUCUGUAUGUUGCUGUAAUUUCUCUGUGUGAAUUAAUAUGCAGAUCUACCUGUUCUCAGCUGUUAAUCUUGAUCUUUCUGUGCUGAGUUUAUAUAAAAGUGCUGCGUCAGUGAUCUUAACAAUACAUUUCCUGGCAAUUAUCCUGGGUCGUACCAAAUCGACAGCAUCAAGUCAACAGGAAGAGGGCACUUUGAGGGGUCAUGGGUUAUUGUUAUUGCCUCCCAAUACUGACCAUUAAUUUCCUUUUCUCUUGAAUGCAGGUUUCCCAGUGCAGAGGAUCCACCAACCCAUGUCAUCUGAGGACAGGUUCAAACUGAGAUGGAGAGAGAGGAAGAGAAAGAGAGAGGGGGAGAAGGGGUAAGUAGAGGGAUAGAGACAGAACGAGGGGUAGAGAGAGACAGAAGAAUAGCAAAAGGGAGAGGGGUAAGGAUAGAGAGAAGGAGGAAGAGAGAAAGGGAGAUAAACAGAGAGGGACAGAGGGAGAGG